GGCUCAGGACGAACGCUGGCGGCGUGCCUAAUACAUGCAAGUCGAACGGUCUUUCUAUGGAAGCUUGCUUCCACUGAGAAGAUAGUGGCGAACGGGUGAGUAACACGUGGGUAACCUGCCCAUAAGAGGGGGGUAACAUCCGGAAACGGGUGCUAAUACCGCAUAGUUUUCUUGAUCGCAUGAUCGGGAAAGGAAAGACGGCCUUUGUGCUGUCGCUUAUGGAUGGACCCGCGGCGUAUUAGUUAGUUGGUGAGGUAAUGGCUCACCAAGACGAUGAUACGUAGCCGACCUGAGAGGGUGAUCGGCCACAUUGGGACUGAGACACGGCCCAAACUCCUACGGGAGGCAGCAGUAGGGAAUCUUCCGCAAUGGACGAAAGUCUGACGGAGCAACGCCGCGUGAGUGAAGAAAGGUUUUCGGAUCGUAAAACUCUGUUGUCAGAGAAGAACAAGUUGGAGAGUAACUGCUCCAGCCUUGACGGUAUCUGACCAGAAAGCCACGGCUAACUACGUGCCAGCCGCCGC
rnacentral:rRNA from 1 species